AUACGUAGGGUGCGAGCGUUGUCCGGAAUUACUGGGCGUAAAGAGCUCGUAGGUGGUUUGUCGCGUCGUCUGUGAAAUUCCGGGGCUUAACUCCGGGCGUGCAGGCGAUACGGGCAUAACUUGAGUACUGUAGGGGAGACUGGAAUUCCUGGUGUAGCGGUGAAAUGCGCAGAUAUCAGGAGGAACACCGGUGGCGAAGGCGGGUCUCUGGGCAUUAACUGACGCUGAGGAGCGAAAGCAUGGGUAGCGAACAGGAUUAGAUCCCCUGGUAGUCCAUGCCGUAACCGGUGGGCGCUAGGUGUAGGGGUCUUCCACGACUUCUGUGCCGUAGCUAACGCAUUAAGCGCCCCGCCUGGGGAGUACGGCCGCAAGGCUAAAACUCAAAGGAAUUGACGGGG
rnacentral:rRNA from 1 species